CAAUAGCGUAUAUUAAAGUUGUUGCAGUUAAAAGCUCGUAGUUGGAUCUCAGGUCCAGGCUUGCGGUCCACCUUGCGGUGGUUACUGCUCGUCCUGACCUACCUCCUGGUUUUCCCUUGGUGCUCUUGACUGAGUGUCUCGGGUGGCCAGAACGUUUACUUUGAAAAAUUAAGAGUGUUCAAAGCAGGCAAUUCGCCUGAAUAAUGGUGCAUGGAAUAAAUGGAAUAGGACCUCGGUUCUAUUUUUGUUGGUUUUUCGGAACUUGAGGUAAAUGAUUAAAGUAGGGACGAGACGGGGGGCGAUUCGUAUUACGGUGUUAGAGGUGAAAUUCUUGGAUCGCCGUAAGACG
rnacentral:rRNA from 1 species